UACGUAGGGGGCAAGCGUUGUCCGGAUUUAUUGGGCGUAAAGAGCGUAUAGGCGGCUAGGUAGGUCCGUUGUGAAAACUCGAGGCUCAACCUCGAGACGCCGAUGGAAACCAUCUGGCUAGAGUCCGGAAGAGGAGAGUGGAAUUCCUGGUGUAGCGGUGAAAUGCGCAGAUAUCAGGAGGAACACCCGUGGCUAAGGCGGCUCUCUAGUACGGUACUGACGCUGAGACGCGAAAGCGUGGGGAGCGAACAAG
rnacentral:rRNA from 1 species